AGACAGAAAUCAGGUGGGAUCCCUCUGUGGAAGUGAAUGGGGUGAUUAAAAUUGUGAUAAAUUCAUUCAGUGGAACAAAAAUUAAAAUAAUCUCUACUCUAUAUCAAAAACUGAUGACGAACAAACAUUCAACUAAGUACAUAAAAGAAAAGUGGGAAUCAGAGCUUAACAUGACAAUUUCAGAUGAAGAUUGGUUGGAUAUGUGGAAAACACAUCAGACAUCCACCAAUUCAUGGAUAUGGAGGGAAUUCACAUGGAAAAAUCUGUAAAUGACCUUACUAGUAUUUUGUGUUUCCUCAUGUAAAUGAGUAUUUGUUGACAUGACAGUCUAUACUUUUAUUGUGAAAGGGCUUGGAACGGAAGGUGACAAACUGCUCGGUCAUGGCGGAGAGAGAGCGCGCACGGGUCGGAGCGAAAGGGAGAUAAUUACGGAGUAAUUCUAAUUAUGGUGUAGACAAUCAGUUAAUUGGUGCUUGGUUGAUGAGGGAACAAGCUCUUACGGUGUGUUCACACACAAAGGCUGUAAAAUAAAGGACUGUGAACCAUCAGUUUGAGAGACCAUCCUUUCAACCGGGACGCUACAAAAUCUAAUACAAUUUUUCAUCACGCCUAAAGUCAAGAAUAGAGAUAAGGACACAAACAUGGGGUGUUGGCGGAACCGUGGAUCAAUGAAUGCAGAUCAUUCUCACAUAUUCUGGUACUGUCCUAAAAUUGUUCAAUUUUGGAAAAAUGUACAUGAAACUGUGAAGAAGAUUCUGGGAUAUGAUAUUCCUAUGAAUAGUGUGGUACUAUAUCUUUACAAUUUUAACAAUAUCAAAGUAAGUGUAAAAGACAAGUAUCUGAUUAAGAUAUUGUUAAUAGCUAGCAAGAAAGCUAUUACGAGGAAAUGGGGAAAGGCAGACCCUCCUUGUCAGGAACAAUGGACUGGAAUAAUAGAAGAAAUCUACAUAAUGGAAAAACUGACACAUCGUCUGAGACUUCAACAAACACAAAUGGAAGAAAAGUGGAUGAAAUGGACAGCAUUCAAGAAUAAAGACAGUCACAAAAAUAAAGAACAGGCAAACUAGACGGGUCAAAGGUCAAAUAGAGGAAUAGCUCCCAAGCUAAGGUUUUAUGUUAUGUUGAAUGUGAAGUGUUCAUGUACAUUGUGUAUGUAAACAAAAGUGAAAAAUACUAAUAAAAAGUUAAGUGAUAAAAAAAACGAAA